UACGUAGGGGGCUAGCGUUGUCCGGAAUCAUUGGGCGUAAAGCGCGUGUAGGCGGUUCGGUAAGUCCGCUGUGAAAGUCGGGGGCUCAACCCUCGAAAGCCGGUGGAAACUGUCGGGCUAGAGUACGGAAGAGGCGAGUGGAAUUCCUGGUGUAGCGGUGAAAUGCGCAGAUAUCAGGAGGAACACCGAUGGCGAAGGCAGGUCUCUGGGCCACUACUGACGCUGAGAAGCGAAAGCGUGGGGAGCGAACAGG
rnacentral:rRNA from 1 species